rnacentral:snRNA from 1 species
GAGAGUGAAGAUGAUCCUACUGGGACACCAGGCACCCCACUGAUGGCCUGGGUUGAUUUUACUGAUCGAAUCAGCUGAGUAGGUGUCUACCUCCCUCCUCACCUUUCCACAUGUGUCCUUCCUGGGGCUGCAUGUCAAGUCAGAGAGAAGAAGAGCCUUCCCAGAUAGAGCAUUGUUCUUUGACCAAAGGUGUGUGAUGA